GAGUGAGUUCCAGACUUGCCUGAUCAUAGCAAUCAGCUGGUCUGCUGGUUGGAAAUUCCACGUCCCAGGCCCCUCCGCUGGAGACUCUGAUUUGAUAUGUCUGCAGGAAUCUCCAUUGUUAACACACUCCCCAGAUGAUAUGUUGGCUGCCGCAGAACGUUUUUAAAGCCUUAAGAUUGCAUCUAUUAUUUCUGAAACGAGGGAAGAAAAAAUCUCCCUGGGAAAAGAGCUACACACAAUAGGGCAUACAUUAGUUUUCCUAGACUCUUUUGCUGAAUUAAUUGCACUUCCAAAACAUUCUUGCCUGAACCACGCUUCAAGAAGGCUCUCAGCUGCAGAGAAUGAAAACUCCCUUCCACACACAUCGAAAUCAGGAAAUCAGAAGAGGCACCAGACUUCUCCACACAGUGUCUUGUUUCUCUCCUGCCAUUCAUCAGAAACCUUCUCCAACAUGUUGCAUUGCAGGGAAAUUAGAGAUGAAAUGGUCACAAAAGUAGAUGUUUAGCCUAAGGACAGUUAUAUGUGUUUCAGAAAAAAGUAAAAAAGGUCAAACCUAAGUCAAGGAAAUGGCUCGGCUUUCUCUAAAACAGAGAGAGAGAACUUUUCUCAGCUGAAAACAUAAGAGAAAGAGAGGAAAGAAACCUGAGAUACAGCUCAAUAGCAUUCUCUUGUCUUGGCCAAGUGUUCAUUUGUAUUGUCAAAACUCAUGGAGAAUCAAACUGUGCCUGAAGCUUAAAGGUGAAGUAUAAUCUACAAACAAAUAAAAUGAUCCUUAAUCAUGGGUUAGGAGUGGGGGCCACCCAAAAGGCAUUGUCCAUGUGCCCUGAAGUUUUAGGAUGCAUUGAAAGUCACAGAUUCAAAAAGGACCAACUGGAGAGGUGAGACCUGCUAUGUGCAUUCCAAAUCAGCCUACCCGGUCAAACUCAAGCCAUCUAAAAUGGAUUAAAGAUUAGUUAUCAUUUCAAUCCUAUGAAAGAAGAUCUAUAUUUCUCUUUUAGACACAAAAUUCUCCAGAGGAUGGUGCUUGCCAACACUCUGAAAAAAUAAUCUCUCAAAAUUCUUGCAACCCACUGUGUUAUGAUUUCAUCUCAUGAAAUAUAACACCUUUACAUUAAACCCCAUAAAACUAAAUCCCUCUGGAUCUCUUCCAGACUCAGAGAAUAAGCAGCUCUGUUGGUGAUGCUUAGAAAAGUGAAGCACAGCCUCUUCUCAUUGGGCUGGUUCCCACCACUGGGUCCAUUUUG
rnacentral:lncRNA from 1 species